GAGGUUGGAAAGACGCCAUGGAUAUUAGGAGCAGGAGUGAAAACCCAACCAUGACCCGUCCUGGACACCCUGUGUUGAAACCCUACUUACGGAAGGAAGCAUGAAGCUUCAGAGAGCUGCAUUGAUGGGCAGUCUACCCUAUGGUUGCCAGUUGGCAUCCGCCAAUGGAGAACCCAAGGAAGAGAGGUGGAGGGGAAGACAUGGAGUGAUGAGGAACUCUGGGCUCCAUCGUUUAGAAAUGAAUAUCGAGAUGUGGUGUUUACUCGUGACAGCAUGAAGGUAAACUGAUUGCAGACAGCAUACUGUCCUUCAGGCCUCUCCAGUGCCACAGAGAUCCAGAGAUGGGCCUAACCCAGUUAGGAACACAAGUAACCCAAAAGCAGGCGUAGUUUCUGGAGAAUAGGCUUACUGGCAAGAAUGACAAGAAAAGCCCAUAGUCUAAAGGUUUGCUUAGCAACCUAAGCUUCUAUAAGAAUAAA